UAAUGCUUGUGAUAAUCUACAGCAGAUGACCAUGACAAUCCAGGUUCUGUGAACUACUGCUUGUGAUAAUCUACAGCAGAUGACCAUGACAAUCCAGGUUCUGUGGAUCGACUGCUUGUGCUAAUCUACCGCAGGUGACCAUAACAAUCCAGCAGAUAACUUCAGGAUUUAUAGAAGGCAUAUAAUGACAGUGAGCGGGACCAAAACUCUUGACAAUCUAAGUCCACCUAUAGGUAGCAUAAGUAAUCUAUAUGACUCAAGUUGCUCAAAUAAUGUCUAGAUGUGUAACGAAUACCUUGCAUGUACAGAGCUAUGUUCUGAAUCUGAUAUACUCCACUUGUAUUCCCACUGUCAGAUGAACAUUUUAAAAAAUAAAUAUUUUUGCAUUUCCCCAGAAUGUCUUUUUCUGUUUCAUUGAAGGUACAAAAUAAAGUACUGUUUUUUAAUAUUGAAUAUUUAUUUUACAUGUAAAGAAUUUAACAGGAAAUUAUUGUAGGCCUGUGACCUGAUAGAUUCAAAUAACUGCUAAUUACUUUUAAUUAACAGUAUUGUAGGUUUUAAAUGUAGCUACUUUUGGUGUAUUUUAAUAAUAUAUAUCUUUAUUAUAACUGGUAAAUGUACAGACA